rnacentral:rRNA from 1 species
CCUACGGGGGGCAGCAGUGGGGAAUAUUGCGCAAUGGGCGAAAGCCUGACGCAGCGACGCCGCGUGAGGGAUGAAGGUCUUCGGAUCGUAAACCUCUGUCAGCAGGGAAGAACGGUCACUGUGCUAAUCAGCAGUGAAUUGACGGUACCUGCAAAGGAAGCACCGGCUAACUCCGUGCCAGCAGCCGCGGUAAUACGGCGGGGGGGAGCGUUAAUCGGAAUUACUGGGCGUAAAGCGCUCGUAGGCGGUAGGUCAAGUCAAGGGUGAAAUCCCCGGGCUCAACGUGGGAACUGCCUUUGAGACUGGCAAGCUGGAGUGUGUGAGAGGAUAGUGGAAUUCCAGGUGUAGGAGUGAAAUGCGUAGAUAUCUGGAGGAACAUCAGUGGCGAAGGCGACUAUCUGGCACGUAACUGACGCUGAGGAGCGAAAGCGUGGGUAGCAAACAGGAUUAGAUACCCUGGUAGUC